CGCUUCCCAUGUGCCAGCACCUGUGGGUACAUUUCAUGCAUUAUCUCCUUGCAUUCUUCUACAUACUAUGAGGAAGCUGUCGUUACCCCCAUUUUUGCAGAAGAGGAGACAGACUUUGAGAGCUCCCUGCAUCAGGCAAGCCCAUAAGUCAUCUCGCUGCCCCAGAUGAUUGCUGUCUUCUGGUUGAUGGUGAAAUGAAGCAACAGCUGAGCCUGUGCCCAGACAGACUAAUGAAAGGACGUGAAUAAGAGUGGGAAGGAAACCUUCUGGGAAGGUUUACUCAGAUUAUUGGACCACUCUCAUUGAAGAGGCAUGCCGAAACAGGAAGAAUCCAGGAACCAGGAACCUGAGGACUCUUGCUGCAAUCUUGCCAGCCCACCUGGGUUCUUGGCGAACGUCUCAACACUUGAAAUAGCUGGUUCUAAAAAUCAGAUACUGUGAUAAAGAGACGUGGGAGGAAAAAAACUAUUGACCUAUUUUCUGGAGAAAGGAAAAACAAUCUGCCAAAUCAAAGAUGUUUCCAGAGAGUGGGUUGGUUUUGAUAAAUAAUUAACUUGGGUUGAUUUCAUUGUGUCUGGAGGAGCAAUUACAACAGCAUGUUCACGCCCCUGGAGUUCUGUUGUUGUCACAUUUUCCACGAUAACAUCU